GGGCUCACAGAAGUUGGCUGUCGCCGGCGGACGUUGUCAGCUCCGAAUUCUUAGGCCGAGUCCAACGGUUGAGCUGGCUUACUAGCUCAUAGAGUUACGUGGCAGAGCCACGUCGAUAUAAAAGACAGCUCGUCCAUCAGGUUACCUCUUCGCACGCCUCUCAAAGUGACCGUGGGACCCACCCAACUUACCUUGUUACUCACCCGUUUCUCACCCGUUUGUUUCCGGGCACACAGAGCCACGGAGGGGAAGGCCGCCAUGGCCUCCGAGACGCGAGCCAUGGUCCACCCCGGAGGCCGCACCGCUGCACGCUUGAUGGACUUGAGCUGCCGGCGGCCUCCGUGGUGCCGCUCCCGCCUCCUCGUCGGUGGCCGCCGCCGACCACGCUGCAGCCGGCCCGGCGAGGCCGUCCUCGUUUCUCUCGUCGCGCGCACCGCUGCCGCAGCCGGUUCCGGUCCAACCGUCCGCGCUUCGCUCGCAGUGCGCCACCGCCGGCGGUCCUGGUCCGCGGUCCGACCGUCCGCACAUCCUCUUCCAGCUCGCGAACAACGAGUUUGAUUCUGGCGAGGUCACCUCCCUCUCCUCCGGCGGCUCGAGUUCGGCCCCGUCGGCGCACGGGCGCCCGUCGGUGCUCCCGGCUUUUAGCGCAGAUGGGAAACGAGGGAGAGAGACAAGGACGGCGUGCGCAAGAGCAGGCCCCGCGAGCACCUCGUAAUGCGUCCGAGCUAAGGGUGGAAAUAAGAGAGAGCUGUGGCUGAGCUGCAGCCUCAAGCCUGAAGCGACUACAGUGCUACUGCAAGCCUGCGGCUGCUUGUAGCUGUAGCUGCUGCAACCAGGCUGCAAGCACUUAUCUAUCACUUGUACAAUAGGAAGCUUUUCACUGAAAAAUUCUUUGAGCUGCACCCGAGUUUUU
rnacentral:lncRNA from 1 species